rnacentral:piRNA from 1 species
UGCCUUCAAUUUGAUUGCACAGGUACCACAGC